UUGCUCUAGAAGCACAUAUACUAAAACUGACACAAUCCAGAGAAGAUUAGCAUGAACCCUGCACAAGGAUAACACACAAAUUUUUGAAUCUUUCCAUCUUUUU
ensembl:snRNA U6 U6 spliceosomal RNA